CCCGCUGAACUUAAGCAUAUCAAUAAGCGGAGGAAAAGAAACUAACAAGGAUUCCCCUAGUAACUGCGAGUGAAGCGGGAAAAGCUCAAAUUUAAAAUCUGGUGGUCUUUGGCCAUCCGAGUUGUAAUUUAGAGAAGCGUCUUCCGCGCUGGACCAUGCACAAGUCUCCUGGAAUGGAGCGUCAUAGAGGGUGAGAAUCCCGUCUUUGGCAUGGACACACCAGGGCUUCUGUGAUGCGCUCUCGAAGAGUCGAGUUGUUUGGGAAUGCAGCUCAAAAUGGGUGGUGAACUCCAUCUAAAGCUAAAUAUUGGCGAGAGACCGAUAGCGAACAAGUACCGUGAGGGAAAGAUGAAAAGCACUUUGGAAAGAGAGUGAAACAGUACGUGAAAUUGUUGAAAGGGAAACGCUUGAAGUCAGUCGCGUCGGCCGAGACUCAGCCUUGCCUCGGCUUGGUGUAUUUCUUGGCCCGACGGGUCAGCAUCAAUUUUGCCCCUUGGAUAAUGGCUAGGGAAAUGUGACACCUUUAUAGGUGUGUUAUAGUCUCUCGUCGCAUGCAAGGGUCAGGAUUGAGGAACUCAGCAUGCACCUUCGGGUGUCGGGGCUUUUGUCCACGAUACAUGCUUAGGAUGUUGGCGUAAUGGCUUUAAACGACCCGUCUUGAAACACCGG
rnacentral:rRNA from 1 species